UGGAAAAAGAAAAACCGUUUAAACUGUUCGUGCCGCCGCGCCUGAGCGGUGGUCAGGUGUCUGCAGUCAAACCCCAGACGAGCACUCGGACAACGGGGCUGUGUCAGGGUUUUAACAAAUGCCCAGAUGAUGAUUUGAAUUUGCCAUUUGUAAUGAUGAGUACACCGAACCGUGGUGAAAUCACUGAGUCAGAGAAUGAUAAUGGCAUUUGAAGAGCUUCGUGUGCAAGCAGAGAACGCCAGAUUGGAAAUGUGUUUCAAAUUAAAAGAAGAAGCAGAAAAAGUGGACAAGGCUGAAAAAGAGUGGAAGCUGGAAGUCAGUAUGAAGGAAAAACAGGUAUGUUCAGUUUUACAAUCUAAUAAGUACAGCUUUAUUUUUGAAACAAGUCUUGCAGUUUUGUUAAUAUUUGAACUCUAUUUUGCUUUCAUGGCUUACUGAUGUAUCAGAUGCAAGUAAUUAUUU
rnacentral:lncRNA from 1 species